AUUGAACGCUGGCGGCAGGCCUAACACAUGCAAGUCGAGCGGAUGAAGGGAGCUUGCUCCUGGAUUCAGCGGCGGACGGGUGAGUAAUGCCUAGGAAUCUGCCUGGUAGUGGGGGAUAACGUCCGGAAACGGGCGCUAAUACCGCAUACGUCCUGAGGGAGAAAGUGGGGGAUCUUCGGACCUCACGCUAUUAGAUGAGCCUAGGUCGGAUUAGCUAGUUGGUGGGGUAAAGGCCUACCAAGGCGACGAUCCGUAACUGGUCUGAGAGGAUGAUCAGUCACACUGGAACUGAGACACGGUCCAGACUCCUACGGGAGGCAGCAGUGGGGAAUAUUGGACAAUGGGCGAAAGCCUGAUCCAGCAAUGCCGCGUGUGUGAAGAAGGUCUUCGGAUUGUAAAGCACUUUAAGUUGGGAGGAAAGGCAGUAAGUUAAUACCUUGCUGUUUUGACGUUACCAACAGAAUAAGCACCGGCUAACUUCGUG
rnacentral:rRNA from 1 species